GUCAAUCUACUUCUCUUCCAAUUCUUUUUUGCUUCUAAUACAGGGAUACAUUACAUGGAAAUAGAGAAGGCACAACUAGUACACAAGUUCUUUCUUUUUAGGUUCAAGAAUCGGAGGGUCAAUGUCAAUUCCCAUAUUUGCUGCAGUGCCAGCUAUUAUCCUCAUUGCAGAUUCAAUAGUAGAACAAUUAAGAUCCGGCAACUUCUCUUGAGCAAUUACCUUCAAUUGAUCAAUAGUUAUUUUCCCCACUUUCUCCCUCUGUGGG